GACGAACGCUGGCGGCGUGCUUAACACAUGCAAGUCGAACGGAAAGGCCCUGCUUUUGUGGGGUGCUCGAGUGGCGAACGGGUGAGUAACACGUGAGUAACCUGCCCUUGACUUUGUGAUAACUUCAGGAAACUGGGGCGAAUACCGGAUAGGAGCUCCUGCUGCAUGGUGGGGGUUGGAAAGUUUCGGCGGUUGGGGAUGGACUCGCGGCUUAUGAGCUUGUUGGUGGGGUAGUGGCUUACAAAGGCUUUGACGGGUAGCCGGCCUGAGAGGGUGGCCGGCCACCUUGGGACUGAGAUACGGCCCAGGCUCCUACGGGAGGCAGCAGUGGGGAAUAUUGCGCAAUGGGCGGAAGCCUGAUGCAGCAACGCCGCGUGCGGGAUGACGGCCUUCGGGUUGUAAACCGCUUUCGCCUGUGCCGAAGCGUGAGUGACGGUAAUGGGUAAAGAAGCACCGGCUAACUACGUG
rnacentral:rRNA from 1 species